UGGGUUCAGAACGUCGUGAGACAGUUCGGUCCCUAUCCGUCGUGGGCGUAGGAAAUUUGAGAGGAGCUGUCCUUAGUACGAGAGGACCGGGAUGGACAUACCUCUGGUGUACCAGUUGUCGUGCCAACGGCAUAGCUGGGUAGCUAUGUGUGGACGGGAUAAGUGCUGAAAGCAUCUAAGCAUGAAGCCCCCCUCAAGAUGAGAUUUCCCAACUUCGGUUAUAAGAUCCCUCAAAGAUGAUGAGGUUAAUAGGUUCGAGGUGGAAGCAUGGUGACAUGUGGAGCUGACGAAUACUAAUCGAUCGAAGACUUAAUCAAAA
rnacentral:rRNA from 1 species